rnacentral:rRNA from 1 species
AUGAACGCUAGCGACAGGCUUAACACAUGCAAGUCGAGGGGCAGCACAGGUAGCAAUACCGGGUGGCGACCGGCGCACGGGUGAGUAACGCGUAUGCAACUUACCUAUCAGAGGGGGAUAACCCGGCGAAAGUCGGACUAAUACCGCAUGAAGCAGGGGCCCCGCAUGGGGAUAUUUGCUAAAGAUUUAUCGCUGAUAGAUAGGCAUGCGUUCCAUUAGGCAGUUGGCGGGGUAACGGCCCACCAAACCGACGAUGGAUAGGGGUUCUGAGAGGAAGGUCCCCCACAUUGGUACUGAGACACGGACCAAACUCCUACGGGAGGCAGCAGUGAGGAAUAUUGGUCAAUGGGCGCGAGCCUGAACCAGCCAAGUCGCGUGAGGGAUGAAGGUUCUAUGGAUCGUAAACCUCUUUUAUAAGGGAAUAAAGUGCGGGACGUGUCCCGUUUUGUAUGUACCUUAUGAAUAAGGAUCGGCUAACUCCGUGCCAGCAGCCGCGGUAAUACGGAGGAUCCGAGCGUUAUCCGGAUUUAUUGGGUUUAAAGGGUGCGUAGGCGGCCUUUUAAGUCAGCGGUGAAAGUCUGUGGCUCAACCAUAGAAUUGCCGUUGAAACUGGGGGGCUUGAGUAUGUUUGAGGCAGGCGGAAUGCGUGGUGUAGCGGUGAAAUGCUUAGAUAUCACGCAGAACCCCGAUUGCGAAGGCAGCCUGCCAAGCCAUGACUGACGCUGAUGCACGAAAGCGUGGGGAUCAAACAGGAUUAGAUACCCUGGUAGUCCACGCUGUAAACGAUGAUUACUAGGUGUGGGGGGACUGACCCCUUCCGUGCCGCAGUUAACACAAUAAGUAAUCCACCUGGGGAGUACGGCCGCAAGGUUGAAACUCAAAGGAAUUGACGGGGGCCCGCACAAGCGGAGGAACAUGUGGUUUAAUUCGAUGAUACGCGAGGAACCUUACCCGGGUUUGAACGCAUUCGGACCGAGGUGGAAACACCUUUUCUAGCAAUAGCCGUUUGCGAGGUGCUGCAUGGUUGUCGUCAGCUCGUGCCGUGAGGUGUCGGCUUAAGUGCCAUAACGAGCGCAACCCUUGCCACUAGUUACUAACAGGUAAAGCUGAGGACUCUGGUGGGACUGCCAGCGUAAGCUGCGAGGAAGGCGGGGAUGACGUCAAAUCAGCACGGCCCUUACAUCCGGGGCGACACACGUGUUACAAUGGCGUGGACAAAGGGAAGCCACCUGGCGACAGGGAGCGAAUCCCCAAACCACGUCUCAGUUCGGAUCGGAGUCUGCAACCCGACUCCGUGAAGCUGGAUUCGCUAGUAAUCGCGCAUCAGCCAUGGCGCGGUGAAUAUGUUCCCGGGCCUUGUACACACCGCCCGUCAAGCCAUGGGAGCCGGGGGUACCUGAAGUCCGUAACCGAAAGGAUCGGCCUAGGGUAAAACUGGUGACUGGGGCU